rnacentral:lncRNA from 1 species
UCCAGUGCUACCUUUAAUUUCUGUUCAAAGCUGUCAGCUGGUUUAGGUGCUGAUAAAAUGUAGGCUUAUACCUAAGCUUGUCUAUGUUUAAAUGUUUAGCUUGUGGUCUUUUACACUUACGAUAAAGAGCACAAGUAGAAAAACAUGUAUAUUAUAGAUAAAUUACUAGGUUCCUAAGUCCAAAAUAAGACCUACAGUGCCCUGCAAGGAGAAUCUCAACAGUUAGCUGCAAAUAAUUAUUCCUUGGUUUCCUUAUCCAUAAAAUGGCAGUACGGUUAUUGUCUAAAAUUAUAAAGCUUGGAGUUCCCGUCGUGGCGCAGUGGUUAACGAAUCCGACUAGGAACUAUGAGGUUGCGGGUUCGGUCCCUGCCCUUGCUCAGUGGGUUAACAAUCCGGCGUUGCCGUGAGCUGUGGUGUAGGUUGCAGACACGGCUCGGAUCCCGCGUUGCUGUGGCUCUGGUGUAGGCCAGUGGCUACAGCUCCGAUUGGACCCCUAGCCUGGGAACUUCCACAUGCCGUGGGAGUGGCCCAAGAAAUAGCAAAAAGACAAAAAUAAAUAAAUAAAUAAAUAAAUAAAAUAAAAUAAAAUUAUAAAGCUAAAAAGAGUUCAUACACGUCAAUCACUUAAAAUAGUGUCUGGCACAUAGGAAGUGCUCUGCGGAAGUUCACCACUGUUACUACAGCUAGCAUCUUCACUAAUCACAUAAUUCGUGGCUUUCUAGUCUGAUGUCUGUGUCUGUAGUCCUACCUCCAGUAUUUAAUGCUGCAGUCAGCUGGAAAAACAGAACUUUAGGUUGUGAUCAAGACAUAUCCAUGUACACAAGGCAAGGCCUCUGAGUGUGAUCACAUUCUUCUUGGAACCACGGUGUGUGUUUCAAAAGAAACACUCAUCAUUUUCAUGAUAAAGAUCAUUUGACCCAUUAAUGUGUAUAGUCAGAAGGGUUUAUAAAUAAGCUAAAAAUGGAGUUCCCGUCGUGGCUCAGGAUCGAACCCUCAACCUCGUGGUUGCUAGUCUGAUUAGUUAACUACUGAGCCACUACGGGAACUCCUCGUGUGUCUUUUUUUCUCUAACAUUUUGAAACAUGUAUUUUUGUCUAUUAAUAAAUCCAUUUGUUAUAAGGAGGACUAGGUGUAAUUAGGUGUGUAAUAACAGCAUCCUGUAAUUAUUUUUAUGAUCAUCAGCUGUUCAGAUUUUUUGUUUGUUUUUCAAGAGCGUGACAGGCACUUCUAGUUGCUUCCCAAGAAGAAAAGAUUAAGGUUUCCAUAGUAGAUGAAAACUAUUUUUCCCCAAUUGUCUAAAACCAGUUUAUAAAUACACUAUAUUUUAGCUAAAAACUCAAGGUAUGUAAAUGUUGACAAUUUUGAACUCUGAAAACCUGAUUACCAAAUAGACAAAAAGAGAUUUUCUUUUAGAAAAGCAUAAUGGCCCUCCAGAAAUUCAGCACAAUGUGUCUAUCCUUUAUUCAUUAGAGUUUAUGUUAGGGAAUGUUGAGCCUGACAGAACUGCGUUCAUAUGUGGCCUCCAGGAUGUUAACUCUGGGACCCCAGCAAAAUACUUGAGUUUCUAGGCCUCAGCUUUUCUACAUGUUAAAUGUCAAAUGAGUGAAAGUUCACAGUAUCAUCCAAAUAUUUAAAGAUUUCAAAUGGUUUCCUUUUUUUCAUUCUUAAACUUUGCUCUAAAUAUUUCAAUAUAUUCAAUUAUUCCCAAUAAUUAAAAAUAAACCAAAGGAGACAAAAUUAAUUAUAUUUACUUCUUUGAUUACUUUAAAUCAGGUUGAAAUGAAAUAAUUUCAGGAACCACAAUUAUUAUAUUUUAAUACAUAUUAUAAAGAUACAUAAUGGUAACAUAAUAAAAAUAUACAUCUCUCCAAGAUAAUGUUGAAGAAGAGUAUAAAAAGUCUGAAAUAAUCUUCAACUCGGGUAAAUAAUCAGGGACAGAGCCAAGAAAAAACAAGUGUGUGUCAACAACAUAGCAUUUUUGCAGUAAAUACUUACAGAAUUAUUUCAUGCUUUGGUCAGUGUUUCAUAAGUAAAGCUGAAAUAUAGGACAUAUUUACAAAGUUAAAUACAGCAACCCCCCACACUGCAUUUUCUUUUCUCCCCUAUUAAAUGGGGAAAAAAAUUUAAAUUGGAGACUCUGUUUUUGAAAUUUUUUGUUUAAUUCUUUGAUUUUGAAAUAAUUUCAGGUUUUUAAAAGUUGCAAAAAAGAGUACAAUGUUUUUUCACAAAGAAUUCCCAUAUGCCCUUCAGCUGCUUCCUCAAAUACUAACAUUUUAUAUUACCACCAGUAACCAAAAUCAGAAAAAAAGUAAUACUUAUAUUGUUACUUAAUCUUCAGACCUUUAUUCAUAUUUCAUUAAUUGUCCUACUAAUGUCCUUUUAGUCUAUAGUCCAGUACAGAAUCCCGCAUUGCACAGGGUUGUCAAGCCUCCUUAGCUUCCUUUAACUUGGUGUGGUUCCUCUGUUCAUCUUGAAUAGUCUUGACACCUUUGAAGCGUACUGGUCAGUAAAUUUGUACCAUGGCCCUUUAAUACUGGUCAGUACCUUUGUACCCUGCCCCUCAAAAGUGGCGAAGCAUCCUUCCCAGUACAUUGGGAGCACAAAAUAUCCAUAUGCCUCAUUACUGAUGUUGUCUACUUUGAUCACUUGGUUAAAAUGUCCACUUUUUCCACUGUGAGUUACUAUAUUACCUGUUGUAAUUAGAAUCUUGUAAUGAGGAGUUCCUGUCAUGGCUCAGCGGAAACGAAUCGAAUCCGACCAGGAACCAUGAGGUUGUGGGUUCGAUACAUGGUUUCGCUCGGUGUGUUAAGGAUCCGGCAUUGCCGUGAGCUGUGGUGUAGGUCGCAGACACAGCUUGGAUCCUGCGUUGCUGUAGUUCUGGUGUAGGCUGAUGGCAACAGCUCCUAUUAGACUCCUAGCCUGGGAACCUCCAUAUGCCACGGGAGCAGCCCUAAAAAUACAAAAAAAAAAAAAAAAAAAAA